CGGACGGGUGAGUAGUGCGUAGGAAUUUACCUCAAAGCGGGGGAUAGCCCGGAGAAAUCCGGAUUAAUACCGCAUGUGCUCUACGGAGGAAAGCGGGCCUCUUCUUGAAAGCUCGCACUUUGAGAUAAGCCUACGUCGGAUUAGCUUGUUGGUAGGGUAAAAGCCUACCAAGGCGACGAUCCGUAGCUGGUUUGAGAGGAUGAUCAGCCACACUGGGACUGAGACACGGCCCAG
rnacentral:rRNA from 1 species